AGAGUUUGAUCCUGGCUCAGAUUGAACGCUGGCGGCAUGCCUUACACAUGCAAGUCGAACGGCAGCGCGGGAGCAAUCCUGGCGGCGAGUGGCGAACGGGUGAGUAAUACAUCGGAACGUGUCCUGGAGUGGGGGGAUAGCCCGGCGAAAGCCGGAUUAAUACCGCAUACGAUCUCAGGAUGAAAGCGGGGGACCGAAAGGCCUCGCGCUCAAGGGGCGGCCGAUGGCAGAUUAGCUAGUUGGUGGGGUAAAGGCCUACCAAGGCGACGAUCUGUAGCUGGUCUGAGAGGACGACCAGCCACACUGGGACUGAGACACGGCCCAGACUCCUACGGGAGGCAGCAGUGGGGAAUUUUGGACAAUGGGGGCAACCCUGAUCCAGCAAUGCCGCGUGUGUGAAGAAGGCCUUCGGGUUGUAAAGCACUUUUGUCCGGAAAGAAAACCUCCGCCCUAAUACGGUGGGGGGAUGACGGUACCGGAAGAAUAAGCACCGGCUAACUACGUGCCAGCAGCCGCGGUAAUACGUAGGGUGCAAGCGUUAAUCGGAAUUACUGGGCGUAAAGCGUGCGCAGGCGGUUCGCUAAGACCGAUGUGAAAUCCCCGGGCUUAACCUGGGAACUGCAUUGGUGACUGGCGGGCUAGAGUAUGGCAGAGGGGGGUAGAAUUCCACGUGUAGCAGUGAAAUGCGUAGAGAUGUGGAGGAAUACCGAUGGCGAAGGCAGCCCCCUGGGCCAAUACUGACGCUCAUGCACGAAAGCGUGGGGAGCAAACAGGAUUAGAUACCCUAGUAGUCC
rnacentral:rRNA from 1 species